CAGUAGUCACGAGUUUGAUCCUGGCUCAGAUUGAACGCUGGCGGCAGGCCUAACACAUGCAAGUCGAGCGGGGGUUUUCGGACCUAGCGGCGGACGGGUGAGUAAUGCGUAGGAAGCUACCCGAUAGAGGGGGAUACCAGUUGGAAACGACUGUUAAUACCGCAUAAUGUCUACGGACCAAAGUGUGGGACCUUCGGGCCACAUGCUAUCGGAUGCGCCUACGUGGGAUUAGCUAGUUGGUGAGGUAAUGGCUCACCAAGGCGACGAUCCGUAACUGGUCUGAGAGGAUGAUCAGUCACACUGGAACUGAGACACGGUCCAGACUCCUACGGGAGGCAGCAGUGGGGAAUAUUGGACAAUGGGCGAAAGCCUGAUCCAGCCAUGCCGCGUGUGUGAAGAAGGUCUUCGGAUUGUAAAGCACUUUAAGUUGGGAGGAAGGGUAGUAACCUAAUACGUUGCUACUUUGACGUUACCGACAGAAUAAGCACCGGCUAACUUCGUG
rnacentral:rRNA from 1 species